AUUGAACGCUGGCGGCAGGCCUAACACAUGCAAGUCGAGCGGAUGAAGGGAGCUUGCUCCUGGAUUCAGCGGCGGACGGGUGAGUAAUGCCUAGGAAUCUGCCUGGUAGUGGGGGAUAACGUCCGGAAACGGGCGCUAAUACCGCAUACGUCCUGAGGGAGAAAGUGGGGGAUCUUCGGACCUCACGCUAUCAGAUGAGCCUAGGUCGGAUUAGCUAGUUGGUGGGGUAAAGGCCUACCAAGGCGACGAUCCGUAACUGGUCUGAGAGGAUGAUCAGUCACACUGGGACCGGGACACGGUCCAGACUCCUACGGGAGGCAGCAGUGGGGAAUUAUUUGACAAUGGGCGGAAGCCUUGUCCAGCCCUGGCGCGUGUGUUAAAGAAGUCCUCCGAUUGGAAAGCCCUUUAAGUUGGGAGGAAGGGCAGUAAGUUAAUACCUUGCUGUUUUGACGUUACCAACAGAAUAAGCACCGGCUAACUUCGUG
rnacentral:rRNA from 1 species